rnacentral:rRNA from 1 species
GACGAACGCUGGCGGCGUGCUUAACACAUGCAAGUCGAACGGUAAGGCUCCAGCUUGCUGGGGUACACGAGUGGCGAACGGGUGAGUAACACGUGGGUGACCUGCCCUGCACUUCGGGAUAAGCCUGGGAAACUGGGUCUAAUACCGGAUAGGACCGCACCGUGAGGGUGUGGUGGAAAGUUUUUUCGGUGUGGGAUGGGCCCGCGGCCUAUCAGCUUGUUGGUGGGGUAAUGGCCUACCAAGGCGGCGACGGGUAGCCGGCCUGAGAGGGUGGACGGCCACAUUGGGACUGAGACACGGCCCAGACUCCUACGGGAGGCAGCAGUGGGGAAUAUUGCACAAUGGGCGGAAGCCUGAUGCAGCGACGCCGCGUGGGGGAUGACGGCCUUCGGGUUGUAAACUCCUUUCACCAUCGACGAAGGGUUUCUGACGGUAGAUGGAGAAGAAGCACCGGCUAACUACGUGCCAGCAGCCGCGGUAAUACGUAGGGUGCGAGCGUUGUCCGGAAUUACUGGGCGUAAAGAGCUCGUAGGUGGUUUGUCGCGUCGUCUGUGAAAUUCCGGGGCUUAACUCCGGGCGUGCAGGCGAUACGGGCAUAACUUGAGUACUGUAGGGGAGACUGGAAUUCCUGGUGUAGCGGUGAAAUGCGCAGAUAUCAGGAGGAACACCGGUGGCGAAGGCGGGUCUCUGGGCAGUAACUGACGCUGAGGGGCGAAAGCAUGGGGAGCGAACAGG